rnacentral:lncRNA from 1 species
CACUCGUGUUAAACCCUUUUUUUUGCUGACGGGGCGGGGCGUUAAAUGUUAUGCGGGACUGGAGCGAUGGUCUCCCUGUUCAUUCACAAACGUGAGUCACGGUGCCGGGGCAUUUUGCUUAAUACUUUUCGUGCAUUAAAUUAAAGCCCAUCACGUGAUGAGAGUGUCAUUGCGAGCAUCUUAAAUAGUAGAACAACAAAAAAUGAGGUGCGAUGGGCGAUC